rnacentral:rRNA from 1 species
UACAGAGGUCUCGAGCGUUGUUCGGAUUCAUUGGGCGUAAAGGGUGCGUAGGCGGCGGAGCAAGUCUGAUGUGAAAUCCCGGGGCUCAACCCCGGAACUGCAUUGGAUACUGCUUUGCUAGAGUACUGGAGAGGGAACUGGAAUUUACGGUGUAGCAGUGAAAUGCGUAGAGAUCGUAAGGAAGGCCAGUGGCGAAGGCGAGUUCCUGGACAGUAACUGACGCUGAGGCACGAAGGCCAGGGGAGCAAACGGG